rnacentral:rRNA from 1 species
CCUACGGGUGGCAGCAGUGAGGAAUCUUGGUCAAUGGGCGCGAGCCUGAACCAGCCAAGUAGCGUGAAGGAUGACUGCCCUACGGGUUUUAAACUUCUUUUAUAAAGAAAUAAAGUGAGGCACGUGUCCCUUUUUGUAUGUACUUUAUGAAUACGGAUCGGCUAACUCCGUGCCAGCAGCCGCGGUAAUACGGAGGUUCCGUGCGUUGUCCGGAUUUAUUGGGUUUAACGGGAGCGUAGAGGGGUCGUUAAGUCAGUUGUGAAAGUCUGCGGCUCAACCGUAAAAUUGCAAUUGAUACUGGCAGACUUGAGUACAGUUGAGGUAGGCGGAAUUCGUGGUGUAGCGGUGAAAUGCUUAGAUAUCACGAAGAACUCCGAUUGCGAAGGCAGCUUACUAAACUGCCACUGACAUUGAUGCUCGAAAGUGUGGGUAUCAAACAGGAUUAGAUACCCCUGUAGUU